AGGGAAGAGUAGUGGUGGACCUGCUCACCCUGCACCAGCUCGGGGAAUAACUACCCAAGAACACAAGCUCAGCAGCUGGCUGAGUUCUGCCUUGCCCUGACUUGCUAGCCACUGUCUUUGCCUCCCUUUUGCUGCAUUCAGUCUGCCUUUUCCAUAGUUUGCCCCCCUUCCCUAGGGUGAUCAGACGUCCCGAUUUUUAGGUCUUUGUCCCGCGUCCCGACCGAUGCACGGUCGGGACGCCAUUUGUCCCAAUAUUGUGGCCUUGGCUGCUCUGCUUUUUUUGCUUCUGCAACUCCAGCCGCCUUUUUUUUUUUUUUUUUUGCUUCCCCCAAGUGUCCCGAGAUUUUCUCCCUUUCAUCUGGUCAUCCUACCCUUCCCUGAGAUUUUCUUCCUCCAGACCACUUCAAUCUUCUGCUCCCCUUAGCCGCCUCUGCCCUGCGGGGAGCAACCGGCAGCCUCCACCCCUGGAGACAAGCAGGGAAGGCAGAAGGAGAGGGGGUGGGAAAAAGAUAGGAACCAAAGCAAAUAUAGCCUCAGAUCAUGCAAACGUGUGUUUGUUUGUGCGUGUGUUACAGGUCUUUGUGCCAAGCCACAGAGGAUUGGAGGCUGCUACAGACGCACUACUAGAUAUAGAAUUAGCCCCAGCUAUUGCAAUUCAUGCUUUUCCAGCCACGAGGUUCCCGGUUCAAUCCCUGCAGUGCCAGCCAAGAGGGCAGCCCUAUCACAGCCCCCCUCCCCCGUCCUUUAAGCCUGCGAGUAGUUGGCAUGAGGCGGCUGAAGUUAAGCACAUGCGCCCCCCUACCCCAUGGCAAGCGCCAGCCCAGCCCUGGGCAUUUGCAGGGUGGCCCUGCCCAUGGCGGGCUGCAGUGCUGCGGCUCUGCCAGCAGGUGGUGCUGUGUGAGGUUAUAAAUCAGCCCGGCCGCCGCCCCCACGUGGUGAUCCGAGACGGUGCCUGCCCGCGUGGGGGGCUCGGAGUGUUUGGUUCCCCCUGGGCCCCCAGCUCCUCGUCACCCCCCUCUUUCGGGCUGCACGUGGCCAAGAUCUGAUGAGGCACAUCCUUGACCUUCUGACUAAAGCACCUCGAUCCUACCGGAAACCAGCACAGUUCAUCUCAAAGCGUCUUCCUUGUCCACUCCCCAUCGUGCAACGCUUCUGCCAUCAAAGUUAAGUCCUGAAGCCAGCAGAGCCUGCUUUGCCCCUGGUGGUGGUGAAGAGGCAAGUAGGAUUCCAGGUAGCAAACGCUGCGCGAGGGAAGAGACGUUACAGUGCUUCACGCUGCCGAGGCCCUGCCGGAGGUGGUGGGCCAGCUGUCUUCUAUGGCAAAAGUGUUGAUUUCUAAUAUGUAUUAAAAGUUACCUUGCUCCAGACUAAUAUCACAAUGUGAGACUUUCACCUUUUCUUUA